rnacentral:tRNA from 1 species
AAUGAAGUGCCUGAGUAAAGGAUUAUUUUGAUAGAAUAAACCACGUAAAUUUAAUUUACCUUCAUUA